AUGCAAACAGGCUGACCCUACCAGGCUAACGCUAUCAGCCUAACCCUUACAGGCUAAUGCAAACAGGCUGACCCUACCAGGCUAACCCAGGCUAAUGACAGCAGGCUACCCCUACCAGGCUAACCCAGGCGAAUGCUACCAGGCUAACCCUACCAGGUUUAACCAGGCUAGCCCUAGCAGGCUAACGCUACCAGGCUAACUCAGGCUAAUGCUACCAGGGUAAUCCUACCAGUCAAGCCCUCUACAGACUCAUGUGGUUCCAAGGCUAACGCUACCAGGCUAACCCUACCUUACGGUGAACACACAUUUUACUAACCCUCACCCUUAUUUUAUAGCAGUAAGAGAAAUGCGAAAAUAAAUGUGUGCCAGUUUAGAAAAGGCUCUCAUGUGCAGAUGAGGCUGAAGAGGCUUUAGAGAUGACAUGAUGGAUGUUAGACAAUGGUUUGGAUUAGGGGGUUCAUUGAUUAAAGAGGUACACAUUGUUGUCAACAGAACAACAUAGAUAAUAAUUUAGGGCCCAAACAGCGAGUUGUUGUUUUUUUAAAACCCAAUGGCAGUUUUAUUGUCUUUUUCCACAAUGGUUUCUAUGUACAACAAAACAAACAUGGGACACCUUUGCUCUUUUCAUACAAAGCAAUGCUACUUGUGCUAAAUAGCAUUCAAGAUGGCAGCCUGUCUACAGCUGGCGGCCCCAGCUUAAAGAGACAGUGGACAAUUUACACGGUGGAUUCAGAUGCACUUGCAUAUAAACACUGGAAAUAACCUUUUUUUGUUCGUAUAAACCCCUAUAUAUAUAUUCAAAAAAUAGAGGAAUAUUUCUAAGUAGCACUAUAUAGCUGCUAAAAUGACACUUUUUCCUUCCUGCAAAUUGCCAUCUAGAAUAUUUUGUCUAUUUCUUUAUUUUUUUGCAAAAUACAAAUAAAAUCUGACAUUUCAUAUACAUUCCUGUUUUUAUAUUUUAUAUAUAUAUAUAUAUAUUUAUAUAUAUACUUCAAGCAAAAAAGUAAAUACUAUUUUCUUUGCAACAAUAACAAAAAAAAAGAAACUUACAGUAAAACAUAAAAAAUAAAGUCUCAAGUCAAAUCAUUUGUGUUUUUGUGGUAAAAACACGUUCAUUCUCUGGCGAGGUCUGGUGGAGGAUUCAGUUCAGACUAGACUCUGUUCCUCUGGAACAUCUGAGCUUUGUGGGAGCGCUCAACACCUCUGUUCUGACGGGGCAGAGGAGCCACUACUCUAGAUCUGUGCAAAUAAACUCCUUCUAUGCCAUAGUCUCUCUCUCUCUCUCUCUCUCUCUCUCUCUCUCUGACUCUCUCUCUCUCUCUCUCUCUCUCACUCUCUCUCUCUCUCUGUCGCUCUCUCACUCUCUUUCUCACUCUCUCUCUCUUUCUCUCUCUCUGUCGCUCUCUCACUCUCUCUCUCACUCUCUCUCUCACUCUCUCUGUCGCUCUCACUCUCUCUCUCUCUCUCUCUCUCUCUCUCUCUCUCUCUCUCUCCUCUCUCUCCCUCGUUCUCUCAUUCUCUCCCUCUCCCUCCUCUCUCUCGCUCUCUCCUAAACAAGCACAUUUCAACAGAGAGGCUAGAUCUGGUUUCUUUAUCACUCAGCCUUGUUUCCCAAAUCGAAAGUACCGUCCAGGAUGUCUUCCCUCCUGGAAUAAAGGAAGUGCAUGUGCCCUGAUCGGCUCCUUCCUGUCCUCCGCUCGUGGUGCGUUGUGUUUGACCGAGCCUCUAAAGACACUGGGACCUCCUCCUGAGGACAGCUUAGCCUCACAACAUGGCCCCCGCUCGUUUACCUGGGGUUCGACCCCGAAGGGAAGACAUGUUUGGCUACAUGCUAACGCUAGCUGUUGAAUAAAGACAACCGUUUCUCUCUCCCCCCCCUGCCCCAUCAGAACCGCUCCAUAGCAGCACCGCUCAGACCCCACCCGACCCACACCCACCACCCUCUCAACCUCUGACCUCAGCGCCGCCCCUAUCGGGGGGGAGGUUUUAGACAGGCGACCGUCAGGGUGAUUGACACGUGGUCGAUGUUGGCCAGGUGGGCGGAGCCUAGGCUUUUUUUGUGCAAUUGAAUCAGAUUUGUGUCAUUAAUUUGUCAGUGUUAUCCAUUACUUAGCUUUUCGUUCAGUAGCUAUUAAGGUUUGACCUUUUAGUAACCAACGAGCCCUCGCGUAAACACCUCCCACCGUUUAGGCGGUGCUUCUGAUUGGCUAGGACAUUUUAAACACAGGGGCCGCUAUAAAGGGCCUGCGAUUGGUUUCUAGUCUGAGAUGUGAGUCGACGUUUUAAAGGUUUUCAAAUCCAUCAUUAGAUCUAAAAGAGCCUCUGCUCUCCAGGGAAUUGGUUUAAGUCAUUUUAAGGAGAAUUGAAAUGGGGAUUUUACUUUCUUUUUAACUUGCAUUUGUACGAAUUUGAGUCUGGACGCGAACAGGAGCGCUUUUAAUUACUUGUGAUUACAAAUUAGCUACUACUCAGAUAUAUAUCUAUCUAUUGAUUAAAUUCAAAUUCAUCAUCACUAAAAGCAUGUCAGGGAUUAAUUAUUCAAAAAGGGUUUGUGUGAAUUUAGGGUUUUACUGUCAACGCUUCAACCCCGCCUUAACGAGGUUGUUUAGGCAGAGGAUGGCUAUUGGCGAAUGUCUAACGAGCCGGGGUUUAGAGAUAUACUCAGCUUGGGGAGUGGGGGGGUGGGGUUGCCAUCAUGGCCGUGUCAAAACAACAAAGGCAAUAUUUUAAUACUUAACAUUUUAUGAAUAUUUAACGACAUGUCAGGUGUCAGUGUGGGGCGCUUAGAAGAGCUUUUAGAUUUUAAGACAUAAAGAUAAAUUAGACGUGUUUAGGAGGGGACUAAAAACAAGGGGCCCGCCGGUCGUCAUGGACACCACGAGUGUCAUCUAAACGACGGAGCCCCCACAUCGCUACGGCAACAACACAGCUAAUAGUGAGCGUGCGUCUAAACAAACACGGCGUUAAUCAUCAGUCAUAAUCAUUUAUAAAAUAUUAGGUGGCCUAAGACCACCACAGAACGCCGAGGUCCCCUCGGCCGUCAGAAGGUAGAACAAGGCGUUGUUUUGGCAGAGUGUCCGGUGCUCUGGCGCUCUGGGCCCUCCGCCCCGCUCCGUAGCAUUCUGCUCCGGUUCUGUCCGGCUUUGGGGCCCCACAACCAACCCGGCCCCGGCCGGGAUAGACCCCCCACGACCCGGACAGAGCCCUCCGUCGCCAUCAGAACCUUGGUCCACCUUUCCUCUCCAGCCCCGGUCGUAUCUAGGCCGAGGUUCUCAUGGUGACGGUUGGAGUGAUUCAGCUUUUCUACUGUACUCUAUUGUGUUGUUGUGUACUCUACUGUGUUCUUGUAUACUCUACUGCGUGGUACUGCGUUGUACUGGUACUGCGUUGUACUGGUACUGUGUAGUACUGUGUAGUACUGCGUGGUACUGCUACUGCGUUACACUGUGUAGUACUGCGUUGUACUGUGUAGUACUGCGUUGCACUGUGUAGUACUGCGUUACACUGUGUAGUACUGCGUUACACUGUGUAGUACUGCGUGGGUGCUCAGCGGGGUGGGCGUGCUCUGGGUGGACUGAGGGACUGACCUCUGCCUGCGCUCAGCAUCCUUUGGUAAGGAUGGAGCCGCAGCCCGGGCCUCCGCACUUUAGUGGCUGCACCUGCAGCGCGGCAAACAGGAAACAGCCGCUCCUCAGCGUCCAAUCGGAUCAGAGCACAGCACAGCACACACACACACACACACACAACGGAACCAAAGGAAAGGGAGGAGGGAUGUGCACCGGGUCGUGCUCCAUCAGGAGUGGAGACAGCUUAUCGUCUGUGAGGAACAGCGAGCAGAUCAGUGUCUGAGAGGGACAUCCACCACAUGUCCAUCAUUUUGGCUCCAGGUCUGUACACGUCAGACUCUGGGAAACAGUGUCGGUCCAUCCCUCCGAAAGCAACCCAAAGUACACCACGAAACCACACGACACAAAGACACCGCAACACACAGACACACACACGCCCAGAACAACACAUUAUCCAUAAAUCAUUACACAUCACACGCGUUAAGGCACAAAACGAUCUUCAGACAGAGGGGCUCUGACAGUGCUGGCCCCUGGGGGCGGGGUCCACACGGCCCCUCGUGGGGGGUCACCAGGGACCCGGUUCUGUAGGAGCAGAACCGAGGGAGGGGGGGUCUCUAAUAGGCUGGCGGGGGUCCGAGUUUCUUAAAUAUAAUACUGAUGGCGCCGGAGAGCGAGAGAGAGAGAGAGAGGGGCGAGAGCGGCGAGGGAGAGGGGCGACUAGCUGAUCAGGUGGGGGUCAACAGGAGGUCAGGUGGACAGGUGUGUGUGUGUGUGUCUGUGUGUGUGUGUGUGUGUGUGUGUGU
ensembl:lncRNA